GACCGCGUAGCUCAGUUGGCAGUGCAUUGGGCUAGUAUUCCAAAGGUCGUAGGUUCGAUUCCCACCGUGGCCA